rnacentral:rRNA from 1 species
CCUACGGGAGGCAGCAGUGAGGAAUAUUGGUCAAUGGACGAGAGUCUGAACCAGCCAAGUAGCGUGAAGGAUGACUGCCCUAUGGGUUGUAAACUUCUUUUAUAUGGGAAUAAACCUUUCCACGUGUGGGCUUUUGUAUGUACCAUAUGAAUAAGGAUCGGCUAACUCCGUGCCAGCAGCCGCGGUAAUACGGAGGAUCCGAGCGUUAUCCGGAUUUAUUGGGUUUAAAGGGAGCGUAGGUGGAUUGUUAAGUCAGUUGUGAAAGUUUGCGGCUCAACCGUAAAAUUGCAGUUGAAACUGGCAGUCUUGAGUACAGUAGAGGUAGGCGGAAUGCGUGGUGUAGCGGUGAAAUGCUUAGAUAUCACGAAGAACUCCGAUUGCGAAGGCAGCUCACUGGACUGCAACUGACACUGAGGCACGAAAGCGUGGGUAUCAAACAGGAUUAGAUACCCGAGUAGUC